rnacentral:lncRNA from 1 species
CCAUAACUAUAAACAUCCACUUUCGCCGUAAUCGGCUUGCUCCUGAACCAUUCUGGUGCAACGUAUCCUUUGGUCCCUCUGAUGGUUGUAAGGGUCCGAGUAUGAUCUCUUAUCAGAAGCUUUGCUAGUCCGAAGUCUGAAAUCCUAGGUGUAAGGUACUCGUCAAGGAGGAUGUUUUCAGGCUUUAUAUCACAAUGGAUGAUGGGGGUGCUGCACUCUUCGUGUAAAUACAUUAGCCCUUUUGCAAUCUUAAAGGCUAUCUGUAGUCUUUGGCUCCAGUCAGGUGUAGAUAUUCCAAACAACAAGUCUGCUAAAGAUCCAUUGUUCAUGUACUCGUAUACCAGAAGCCGGUGCACACCCUGAUCACAAUAGCCAAGCAAACUGACCAAAUUCCUAUGGUGGGUCUGCCCAAUCACAGUGACUUCUGUUUUGAAUUCCUUCUCGCCUUCCUGUACCACCUUAUCUAAUUUCUUGACUGCCACAAAUCUCCCAGCAUCUGAUGCCAAAACCCCUUUAUAAACUGUUCCAAAAGCUCCCCUGCCCAAUUUCUCCUUGAAUCCACCGGUUGCCUCUUCAAGCUCUUUGUAUGAAUAAGUUCUCACACUGGUGGUCGGGAAUUUGCUUGAAACGGACUGGAUAUUCAUCAGUUUCUUGUUGUAGAAGAAGAGAGCAGCCGCAGGGAUUGCUAACAACAGAAAGAGAUUAAAGAACACAGAGCUGCCAAGGAGUACUGACCCAACAAGGAUCAAGGUAGACUUGUCUGGGCAUCUCUCUAUAGUAUCAUUUUUAAUCCGUACCUUGAUGAGAGCAGUUGUGUAUUGGAGCACAUUUUGUGUAGGUUCGUGUCUUCCAUUUGAGAGAGGAAACUUCUUCUUCCAACACUGAUUCUCAGUGUUAUAGAUAGCAACCACACAGAGGCAAUCAUCUUUGCAAGACUGUUUACACUUCUCCUUGUUGAAUUCAGGUCCCUCCUGAAGUUGAUAAUCAGAUAAUGGCCAGUUGACAUCUUUUAAUUCUCUGAAAUCUACUGCAUCCUUGUCUGCUUCCCAUCCAUCAACAGCUGUUUGGCAGCUGGGCAAUUCAAAAUUCGGUUUACAGCCUUGUUUUCUGUCAAGAGGAUCCAAAUGAGAGUACCCAUCUGGGCAUAGACAAUCAGGCAGCCCCCUUCCAUCAAUGGAACAAUAGCUGUUGAACCCACAAAUUCCACUGCCAAGAUUACUUGGGGUCACGGUACAAAUGUUAUCAGGAAUGUUUUUCACAACAGACCAAGAAGUACUGCUGUUGUCACGAUUAUAUAGCCUGAAAACUCCGUCCUGGUCAAGCGUUGCCCGGUAAUAGUAAUCUCCCGUCAAGCUACUUCCGGAGGUGAUGUUAACAGUACCUCCAUUCCUUAGAAGAACAUAGAUGCCACCUGACUCAUCAAAAAUCAACCGUAGGCCAGAAUUGCUGCUAUUUGCAGCAUCACUGGUGUAAAUUGAAUAAUAAACAUCAUAUGCUUUACCAGAUUCUGGGUCCAAGGUAUUAAGUACGAGAUUGCCACCAGCUUUCAUUUGAAGCUGGAACCUCCCCUUUGAGUAGCUGCUGUUUGACUGCUGAGAAUACAUGGUGCCACCGAUUUCCAGUGUUUGAGUUGGCAAGAUGGUGUUGGCUGGAUUCUGGAAGCUCUGCCACACUGUAAGAUUUUGAUUCCUAUUUUCAAGAACAAAGUUACCAGUAUCAAGCAUGGCAGCAUGAGUGACCGCGGUUACAGAGUUCUGAGGUCUCCAUAUCUCUUUGCCUUGUGGAUCACUUAGUAUGAACUGGCCAUCAGAGGUAAGUUCAAGUUUGGAUCCUUUAGGAGCCGGGUUAUCUCCAUUUGCAUACCAAACUAAGGUUUUUUCCGGUAUGUUUUCGAACCAGAUAGCAAGCAAGAAGAGACUUUGACUGCCAAGGCGGUAAAACCCAAAGGCAAAUUCACCAGAAGGUGAUACACAUCUAGGCGAGUCCUGGGAGGCUGUAAUGUCAAGAUCAGUGCAAUAUUGAGACAACACUAAAGAUGGAAGGACAAGAAGAAGAAAGAACCUGGCAGCCAUUGCAGAAGAGCCUUGGUACUACCCUUCACACCGGAGAAAGUUUGUAGAACAUAUAAAAGUAUUCACAUGGGAUUGUGAGACUGGAAAAAAUAGCAUGCACAAGGUCAAUGCGGUCGGAUUGGGUGAGCGGUGGAAUCAAUUUCGUGAGUGAAACAUCUUCCUAAUUCACUUUAAAGGUCAUUGCUGACACGUUUUCCAAGCUUUGAAUCUUUGAAAAACUAGUUAUGGCCAACCACAUAUGUGUGGCUUAUCUUCUUCCACUUCAUAGGGUAUAGGAUAUGGCUUACCCCCACAUGCAUUAGGUAUUUAGUGUGCAUCUUCCAAUAGUACAUCAUUGGAAAGCGACUAAUUCAUUGUCUAAUAUGCACAUCCAUUUUUAGGGCCUAGGUCCUCAUUUGUGGUUGAAACGAUCUAUUCUCAAUCAGCCAAGACUUUUGCAUGCUUACAAAUUUGAUUUCACUUAUUCAAGGUAUGAAAGGGAUUUUAUCGGUCAAUUCUUACAUUGCAGAAUUGUUGAAAUUGUCUUAUUACAGCCACCAAGAAGCUAAAUUAUGUGUCUAAUCUCAUGGUUAUAGUCCGGGGUUCUACUAACUUGUGAACUGGUAUCUAUUGAUUCUAAUUGUCCGUUACCAUUUUCUAAGACUUUUGAUACAAGUUGGAUGAGCUCAAUUGCACCUCAAUCAGCCUCUGUUAAGAUUCCACAGUUAUAUAGUUGGUUUGAAUUUUUCUAAAAAUGGUUUUAAGAAAAUUACCUAUCAAACGUUUCUCCAAAAAAUAUUAUAAGUAAUUUUUCAAUAUUAAAAGUGAUUUUUCAUAUUUUUAACAAUAUUUCGUAAAUUUUGUCAAAUGUUUUUUUUUUUCAUAAAUACUUUAAAAAUAGAAAUAUUUCUUAAAAUUAUUGUCAAAUAUUAAAACUAUCAAAACAUAUGAUUUGAAAAUCAUAAUAAAUAUUAUGUGAAUAAUUCAAGUGGUCAUCUAUUUUCUUUUUUGUUCUUUUAUUUUUUGUAACCCGGAGUGUUGGGUUAAAGUUGAUAUGAACACCAAAGGCCUCAUUUUUGGAAUUUAAUUAACACAAAAUUCUUUUUCAAGUUGAUAAUUAUAUAAAUAAUCUUAUGGAGUCCAUUAUUGAAUUUUAUUGAGAGUGUGUGGCCAAAAGCCAAAAGGAUGAUGUCUACCGUUCUUUCUUUUCCAUUUUCAUUUAUUGAAAUUUUAUUCCCCCGAUGAACUUGACAACCAUCUUAAAAUAAUUAUUGGAAGCUAUUAACUUUAAAUAAUAAGGAUCAUGUUCAAUAAUUAACAUUUUUUUGAAAAAAAAAGUAAUCAUUGACUUAGAGCUCGAAUGACAGUGACGGUAAAAAACGUUUUUAACCUAAAAAGUUUUUUUGAAAGAAAAAAAAAAAUAGGUAUUAGUAAAAUUUAAUAAACGCUUUUUAAAAAUUUGAAAAAUCAUUGAUAGUAUUAAAAAAUCACUUAUAGUGUUUUUAGAGAAAUGUUUUAUAGAUGAUUUUCUUAAAAACACUUUAUGAGAAAAUACUUUCAGAGAAAAUAUUUUCAUUAAAAAUACUUUAAAUAAAAAUAUUAUCAAAUGUACUCUUAAAUAUUUUAUUAUGAAAUUUAUUAUUCUAAUUAAUUUUAUAUAUAAUGACAUGAACAAAAAAUAUCAUAUCAUGAAAAAUUUGUGUUUUCUUUAGUAGUGAUAUUAUUUUUUGGAGAAUAAUAUUUGAAGGUGUGGAAAAAAGAUUGGUGAAAAAGCGAAAAAUCCUUUUAAUCUUACAUCCUAGUUGUGUUCAAAUAUAAGAGUUGGGAUCACCAAAUUCAUUAAUAUUCAAGAAGAAGUAAGAAUGAAAAUUAAAUAUUCAUCUUCAUUCCUAAUUUUUACAUAGCAAAUAUGGCCUUCUAAUGUUACAUUGAACAGUGAGAUGUUUCUUGCACCAUUAAAAAAAUCAGCCUUGGAAAACAGACGUCAAAUUUCUUGCACCUGACAUUGACAUGGACUCAAACUAUCUAAAACUAACCUAAAUUCAUGGAGAUGAAUGGCCAAUCAAGUGAAGCACUUGCCUGCGUGAUGUCUGGUCAGUCAUCUUGAAAUGAGAAUUAUAUAGUCAGAUAAAUAAUAAAACACAUAACCUAAUAUUCUAUUCAUUGAUUCGCUCAUUCACUAAUCAUUAGAAAGUCGGGAAAUAUAGAAGAGCAAAUUUUCUAAUUCAAGGAGAUGCUGAAGAGGCUCAGAAUCAUAAUUUCUAUACAAAAUCAGGAAGUUCAAUGAGGGAAUUGCACUCAACCCUUUAAGAUAAGAAUAUGGAAAUGGAAAACAAAGCUUCAAAAAGUCUUAGGUUAUGUUUGGUUUCUGAAAAAUAUUAAGGAAAGAAAAAAAAUACAAAUGAAAAUGAAUUUUUCAUAUUUGGUUGUCCUAUGAAAAAUAUAAAAGAAAAUCAAAUAUAAUUAAAACUAAUUAAAAAUAUAUGUAUUUUUAAAUUUUUUAAUCUUUAUAUUGAUGAGUUAAAAUAAAUAAAAUGAGUUUGAAGUAAUAAAAAAAAUAAUUUAUCGAUUUUUAAUCUAUUUUUUAUUUUCCCUCACUUUUUCUUUCCUUCUACUUUUCCUUUGUAUUUUCUUUCCCUUGCAUUUUCCCUCAAAUUUUCUGGGAACCAAACAUAGCCUUAAAGUCUAGAUCAAUUUAAUUACAAUAUUCUUCUUCGGAGUUUCACAGUACAAACCUUCAUUAAGACUUGGGACUCUUUAAUUUUCUUUUCAAAGAAAGAGAUGACUUGGAUAAACAAUGAGAACCAAUGCCCAUGGUCACUUACAGAAGUUUAUGCAUGACGAUGACAAUUCUACUAAUGAGAAGCAAGCACAAGAAGACUGCCACCUCCAAGGUCCAUGCCAAUGACCUCAAUGAUCAUCCGCAGGGCAACAAAAAAAUAAACAGAAAUUCCAAAAUAAGAACAAGACCACGUCAAAAUUGUGACAAAAACAAAUUCAGCAACUACCUGACAAAGAUUUGUCUUUCUACUUGCCUUUUGUUAUAAGGACUCCCGAAAAACUUAGGCUGCUAAACCAAAAGUGUGUUUAAACAAAUAAAAAUUUGACCAAUUCAGUACCAUAAAAUACUUAUAUAAAAUUGUUGGUUUAGGAAUGGCAACUUUCUAAAUGAUCCUAGAUCUAAAUAUACAUUGGCAUAAAAUUGCAGUUGUUUACCUCACAUGUUUUUUUAUUGUCAUAAUAGAACUUUGUUCCUUAGAAGAAGGCUUCUAUGCUUAUCCUGGUUACUUAACAUGGAACAUGUGCAAAUAGAGUUUGUUGCCUGCCCAAAUCUUCCACAACCGGACCAGCCAAUGACUUGUGUGCAUGUACAGUUCUUCAAGAGUGUUGAGCAGAUUAAAAGCCUUUGAAUGCAAAAAGGAGGUCAAGACAUUAACAAUGUAGAAUAUUUAAGUAAUUCUGGUAUCAAACAUAAUAAAAUUGAUUAAACAAAACCUUGAACAAUGAGGUAUUUUCUUCCAAAAAAGAUGAGCUCCACCAUUGUGUGGGCUAUUGAGAAUAUGAAAAAUAAGACAUUAGAAUGAUAAGCAAUUAAAAUUACCUACUAAUGAGCAGCAAACUAGAAUGUUGAAUUUUGACUUAGUAUUUGCUGGAAUUUGAAUUUUGAAUAUUGCAGCUGGAGUCUUGCACAAAAUCUGCAACAUCUAGAUAUUUUCUUAUUUUUAUUUGGUCAAGAUUUGGUUUCUAUUUUAUAGGAAGUAGUUAUUCAUCAUCUAGUAGCUUGAUUUUCUGCUAUUCUAAUGUCAUUUAAGUUACAAGUUCAUGUAUAAAUUCAGCACUCUUCAUCAAUAAAAUCAGAGUUCCAGCAGCCCAAAAAUAUAUUUUUUGUAUAAGUAUUUAAUCUUAUACCAACAAAGUGGUAUCAGAGCCAUAGUUAUCUUGAGGGGCCAGUGAGGUGAGAACCCAAACACCUUCUAAAAUCAUAUAGCAAUGGAAGAGUCAAGUCUCACAGUUGCACCAUCAAUUCUUGAUGGAGACAAUUAUGAAACUUGGGCUGUUAGAAUGACAGUUCAUCUACAAGCACUUGAUGUUUGGGAAGCAGUUGAAGAAAAUUAUGAAGUUCCUCCCCUGGGAGCCAAUCCAACUGUGGCUCAAAUGAAGUUGCAUAAAGAAAGAAGGACAAGAAAGGCUAAAGCGAAAGCUUGCUUGUUUGCUGCAGUUUCACCAUCAAUUUUCAUCAAAAUCAUGAAAAUUGAUUCAGCUGUAGAAAUUUGGGAGUAUCUCAAGGAGGAAUACAAAGGAAAUGAAAGAAUCAAGAACAUGCAGGUGAUGAACUUGAUUCGAGAAUUUGAAAUGAAGAAAAUGAGGGAGUCUGAUGCUGUUAAAGACUAUGCUGCACAACUUCUUUCAAUAGCAGACAAAGUUAGGCUGCUUGGAAAAGAAUUUUCCAAUGAGAAGAUUGUUCAAAAGAUAUUGGUUACACUUCCUGAGAAAUAUGAAGCUACAAUUUCCUCUUUGGAGAAUUCAAAAGAUCUGUCAACUAUUAGCUUGACAGAAUUAUUACAUUCCUUGGAGGCUGUGGAACAAAGAAGACUCAUGAGACAAGGAGAUACUACAGAAGGAGCAUUUCAAGCAAGAAUGCAGAAAAAUGCAGGCCAUAAAAAUGGAAAGAUGAACAACAACAAGCCAUGCAGCAACAACCAGAAAAAUGGAGUUUUUCCACCUUGUCCUCAUUGCAAGAAGACAAAUCAUUCUCCACAAAAAUGUUGGUGGAGACCAGAUGUGAAAUGCAACAAGUGUGGUAAACAAGGACAUGUGGAGAGGAUUUGCAAAAAUCAACAACAGGAAGAAACUAGUGCAGCAGUUGACUAUUGCCAGGAGGAGCAAUUGUUUGCAGCAACGUGUUUUGCUAAUAAAAGCACCUCUGAAAGCUGGCUUGUGGAUAGUGGUUGUACAAAUCACAUGACAAAUAAUCAAGAUCUCUUUAGAGAACUUGAUAGAACAACUAUUUCCAAAGUCAGAAUUGGAAAUGGUGAGUAUAUUCCAGUGAAGGGCAAAGGAACGGUUGCUAUCGAAAGCCAAACAGGUUUGAAACUCAUUUAUGAUGUUUUGUUUGUGCCUGACAUUGACCAAAACUUACUCAGUGUUGGACAGCUCGUUGAGAAAGAAUUUAAAGUUUAUUUUGAAGAUAGGAAUUGCAUUAUCAAGGAUGCUGAAGGCAAAGAGGUGUUCAACAUAAAAAUGAAGGGCAAAAGUUUUGCCUUGAAUUUACUGGAAGAUGAGCAUACUGCUAUUUUACAACAAGAUAGCACAACAAUGUUUUGGGACAGAAGGGUCGAGCACUUUCAUCAUGAUGAUGUGCUCUACAUGAAGAAAAAUCAAAUAGUUGAAGGACUUCCUGACUUAGAAAAAGAUCUUCCUAUAUGUGCUACUUGUCAAUAUGGGAAGCAAACUAAACUUCCCUUUCCAAAGAAAAUAUCCUGGAGAGCAACCCAAAAACUGCAACUGGUGCAUACUGAUGUUGGUGGAUCUCAAAAAAUGCCAUCCUUGAAAUGGAAUGCAAACAAUGUUUGGUGGAUCUCAAAAAAUGUCAUCCUUGAAAUGGAAUGCAAACAAUUUUGGGCUAAAACUGCAAGUAGAGCAGUAUAUUUUCUGAACAUAUUGCCAACAAAAGUGUUAAAGAAGCAGACCCCUUUCGAAGUUUGGUUUGAGUGUCUACGUGCAAGACUUGGAGUUUGCAUCUACGAAGUCAAGGAGGAGUGUUGAAUUUUGACUUAGUAUUUGCUGGAAUUUGAAUUUUGAAUAUUGCAGCUGGAGUCUUGCACAAAAUCUGCAACAUCUAGAUAUUUUCUUAUUUUUAUUUGGUCAAGAUUUGGUUUCUAUUUUAUAGGAAGUAGUUAUUCAUCAUCUAGUAGCUUGAUUUUCUGCUAUUCUAAUGUCAUUUAAGUUACAAGUUCAUGUAUAAAUUCAGCACUCUUCAUCAAUAAAAUCAGAGUUCCAGCAGCCCAAAAAUAUAUUUUUUGUAUAAGUAUUUAAUCUUAUACCAACAUAGAAUACAUCCAUGGUUUCCUCCAUGCCUGUAUAAGAGAAAUGACAAAGAAAGUGAGGAAGAACCAAAGCAUCCAUGUUUUUCCAGUCAUUAAGCGGUUCACUUGGGUUAUGCAUAUGGCCAAAUAAAAAACAGGGCAUGAAUAUGUGAGUGCCGUUAGAAUAUGAGAAUUGUCUGUGUCAAAAUGCGAGCACCUAGGUUGAAUCCUCAUCUACAGCUAUUCAAAAUUCGUCUCAGGCUUGAAGCUUCAAGAAGAAGAAAAUCUUAAAUCAAAUAAAUGGAGCCAAGGAAUUAUGUAGAUAUAUUCUUGAGAUUAGAAAUUGGAACAUAACUUUUCUAAAGAACUAAGUUUAAGCACAGAACAAUUACCUGCCGAUAUGUUGGUGCAGUGCCACUUUCAUUAAAAUAGCACAUCAUUGAUCUCUAUUUUUGGAAUGUGAGAUAUAUAACGCCAUUCUUGCCCUUUCUCAAAUUGGUGCCGUUGUUCUAGUGAAGGACAUUUGUAGACAUACAGAUAAGAGAGAGGGAGUCUGGCAGUGUCAACUACUGGAGCUUAGGGCAGUUGGCGAUAUACAAGGUUUCAAGAGUGGUAAGGUGGUGAAGACCUGCUUCUGUUAAGGAUUGGAGCCUUGGGCACAAGUAUAAUAUUUUGAGAGAAAUAUGGUGUUGACGAACGGACCCCUAUGGAGAACUGGAGCUCAGUGCAAUUCCUGAUCUCUAAUUGUAGAAGAGAGGUGAGUCGUUGAAGCCCCCUGCUGUAAAGAGACUUGAGAUUUGGAAGAUCUGAGAUUGAAAUAUAAGUCAGAGAAGAGGGCAGCAGGCACUCCUUGGGAAAUAAUUCCACGUCUUCACAUCCACCUUUGAUUGUUAAUUUAGUAAGAGAGGUCAAUCUUUGCAAAUCCCAAUCCACCUGGGAUGUGAGUUGGUUGCAGCGACAAACUUCUAGUUCACGUAGGUUGGAAGGCAAACCUUCUCUGUGAAACAAAAAUUCUGAGCAAUCCCUUAAAAUCAGUUUCCGCAGAGAUGAGUGUGUGUGGACCAGCAAUCUGAGCUUGGAGCAACUGGAAAUCUCGUGGUCCAUUGAGUCCAGAGCAGGCAGUUGGAUAUAUACAAGAUUAUGGCACCCUCUGAUUUCCAAAUUAAGAAGAGAUAUGGGAUCGCCCUCUGAAAUCGAAAUGCAGAGCUUCUCAAGUCCCUAAGACCAUGGAUUGCGAAAUUAGUCAACCUGGGGGAGAUGUCCAAUAUUGAGAAGGAUAAUGGGGGAGAAUUAUUGUAGGUACCACCAUUGAUUGAUAGAUUUUCAAGUACAGGGUGAUGGCAUCUGAACAACUCUGGUAGAAUAAGGUCCACUUUGGUACAGUAAGAGAUUGAUAGUGAUUGCAACAUAGUGGGUAAACCAACUUUGCUCGGGGAUCUGAAAAAGAGCAGUCACAAAUUUUUAAACUGUGGAUGUUGGUUUGCAGGAUUUCCUCCUCUAGCAGAGACUCCAUAGAAUCACACUUUGUGGAUGUUGCUUCCAUUGAGAGACGUCUGAAAUUUCAAUUUCUGAAGUUUGAAGAGCUGUGAACCCACAAGUUUGCCUUUUCAACUGCAAUCUACGGGCAGCAGGAACAUUGAGUGUAGGCACAAGCAGUUGCGGACAUAUUUCAAGGUUAAGUUCCUGCAAUGAAGGAAGGUGUAUUGGUAAUUCCCCAAUGAGUAUAGGACAUUGCCUUAUAGAAAGCUCCUGGAGACGAGGGAAUUCUCCACGUAUGCCUCCACGACAUAACCAUUUCUCCCAAUUGGACAUUACAAAAUGAUAUAGUUUACAGGGAUGGGAAGGAGGGCUGAAGUGAAAAAGAGGAGUUCCCAUAAAACUCACCACCCACCCUGACUACUCCUUUCAUGUCUGAGAUCUCUAGAAGUUUAAGACAAGGUAGCUGCCCCAGUGGCGGCAAUGUUGAGCAAUUGCCACAACCCCAAAGCUUAAGGGACCCAAGAUUCAAGAAUGAAGGAUCUCCAAGCCAAUAUGGAAAUGUUACACCAGGAUACUUUAUGAUGGAGAGUUAUUUUAAAUUUGGAUGAGGUUGUAACCAGCUAAGAAUAUUGUCUAUUACACCAUUAAUUUGUAUAACAUCACUAAUAAUCAUGUCCUUCCAAUUCAGGGAUAACUCAUCCAGGUAUCUCUUAUCCUUCAUAUGUCCUUGCAAUGCAUCCUCAACGCGCACUACAUUCUCCAUUUUUGAAGUUUUAAGUAUUCCCUGAAUCUCCGGAAACUCUCUCAAUCCAUCCUCCAAUUCCAUAUCCACUUUUUUGGCCCACAAUAACAUAAGGCAACUGUUGUAAACUUUUUAAUUGAUCUAAUCAAUUUCCCCAUUUUUGAAGGCAAUUCAAGAAGAAUGUGACAUCUACUCAAUAUCAUCGAUCGUAUGUAAAUUGUACAAAUAACAUAUUGAUUUAGGUAAUUUUUCAAUCAUCAUAAAAGAGAGAUCCAAGUAACACUACUGUUUUAAAUUGUGUAUUGAAUCAAGCACAUCUGUUAUGUUGUAUGCACACAAUGAUAACACACGCAAGGAUUUAAAUUUUGGUAAUAUAUUUUGUAAAACUCUUUUACUCCAUGUAUAAUAAGGAAUACGUGUAAAUCUCUUCACGUCUAAGAAUGUCCAGAGAUGUUUAGCUUCACCAAUAGCCUCAAACUUAUCACGUACAACCAUCCAGUCGUAGCCACUUUAAAAGUAAAGAAAAUGACGAGCCUUAUCAGUUAUUUUUUGCACCUUAUAAUCUUCCAAUUGAACACAAAAUUCGCUGGAGAUAUGUUGAGACAAGUCAUGUAUUAUAUCAUGCAUUACAAAGCAUGAUUUUAUGGUAAAUGAUUCCUUUGUAAUAGAUUGUUGAAAAAAUGACUUUGCUAGAAGCUCAUUAAAACAUGACUCACCUACCUCUUCCAGUCUUUCUUCACUUUGUCCCGCAUGUAAAAGCCCUUCUGCCAUCCAUAAUAGAAUCAGCUUCUCUUUUUCUUGUUACCUACUCUCUCUUUGAGUUUAAGCUGAAACAAAUUUAGGGUGUCAUCAGAUUUAGUUUCAGAACUGAUUUCCUUGAGAAUUGAUUUUGUUACCUCCUCGAUGAGAAAAAUCUCAGUGGAAACACAGACCCAUGCUUUCAAGUGGAAGUGUUGUUUGACCGUGUCAUGGUUAUAGAGAAGCUGAGCGAGUGUGGUCUUGCCGCUGCCGCCCAUGCCCACCAUGGACAUCACAUCUAUGACGUUGUUGCCUGUUGCAUUUUCCUUUUCAGAAAGCAACCACUUCACCAUCUCCUCCUUGAUUCCAUCCCUGCCCACCACAGAGGACUCAUCCACCAAAGAAGUGGUUGGUGGUCUUGGUGACAGUUUAUCGCCUUCACCUUCUUUCAGCCAAAGCUCAACUUUUUCUUGUGCAAUGUUUUCAAGUACGGUAAUCAAGCCCUUGACCCUGGGCUCCAUUCUUUGAGUAGCAAAUGGAGCCUUAACCCUGGUGGAGAACUUGUUCCACACCUGAUAAAUUCCGCCAGUUUGGGGGUGUUCAGCAGCUUCGAUCUGGCACCGCAAAGUUUUGGUAGCGAUCUCGUCCAACAGGUCCUCCGCAUGAUACACAGCAUCCUUAACUUGGACUAGCCAGUCUUUGACAAGUGGAUCUGAAAAUUGCUUCAUCUCCGCAUCAUUGAGCGCUUUGUGGACAACCAGCAAUUUCCUCUUAAAGUUGGUGAGGAGUUCAUGGCUGAGCUUUUGUGCCCGGAUGAAGUUGAUGAGGUCCGGAGAAGCCAACCUGUCGAGUAGAACUUGAAGUGAAGCCAAGAGGAGUGCGUCCGCCAUUGCAAAAGGAAUUCAGCGAGAUUCAAUACAGGAAAAAUGAAGGUAAGCAGAAUUAAUGCAGAAUCACAGCAACAAACUGCAAAGCAAAGACUGGUCUCUAUUGCCAAAAUGCAUGAGGCUUGAAGGAAUCAUUGAUGGUGGUGGACCAAAUGCUGACUUUUUUGCCAAAACCAAUAAUUGAGAGGUGAGUAAAAGAAAGCAAAGGAAAAAGGCUGAUGACAGACUCUGUUGAGUAACGUGGGUGGAGCUUUCCAAAAAUGGAAAGCAAAAGCCACCGGGUUGUUCUUUGGUACCCAUCAUUUAUUUUGGGUUGCCAACCCACAUUUGAACCACUAAUAAAUGCAAGUGUAAAGUGUAAUAUUAUAAUUUAUUAUUAAAUAUCAAAUAUAAUUUGUUAUUUAAUUAAUUAAGCACCUAACAAUUAUCUAAAAUAAGAAAAUUUUAUCAACUACUCUUGUACUCUUGGUAUGCAAAUAUAGAAAAAGAAAUAUUAAUUUAAUAUGAAAAUUAAAUAGCUUCAACCAACGUAUUUGUGAUAAAUCAAAUUUAAAGAUUAAGUAUAAGAUUUCUUAAGGAAGAAAAACAAAAAUUUGUAUUUCAUAAAGGAAAUAAAAUAUUUCAAGUGAUUACAUUUAUUAAAGGUAAUAUUUGAUAUUUUUUUAUUUAAAUAUAAAUUUUGCCAGUAAAAAUGUAGCAUUUUAAUAUGUAAUGAUUUACAAGAUUUAGGUUUUAGAACUUUUUUUUUUAUGAGUUUAUUAUUAAUCAAAUUGAAAUAAUUUAGUCCUUUGUUAUCAAAUUGUUUUCAAUAUGUGAGAAAAGUUACAAACAACGUAAGAGAAAGUAUGAAUAAUAUAAGAGAAGGUAUGAAUAAUGCAAGAAAUUGUACGAAUAAUGUAAGAUAGGGUAUGAUGGAUGGUAUGAACAAUGCAAAAAAUGAUACAAGUAAUGUAAAACAAGGUAUGAACAAUAUGAGAAAUGGUAUGAAUAAGAAGCCUCUUCUCAUUAUUAUUGUUGAAGACAAAGCAAUGUGUAAAUAGAAAUUGAUGAAUAUAUUGCAAAUGUGGUGGGUAAGGAGCACUGAGUAGACCAUACUGCUUUAAAUUUCAUCACAAAAGUGUUGGGUUUGCAUACAAAUAAAUUUAUGAUCUAAAAUAUAAACAUAAAAUAGUUAACAACAUUAAUUAUGUAAUAAAAUUAAUACGAAGUUGGUUUAUCCUUAUAUUCAUUUCUACAUUUAGUAAUUCUUGUCUAAGUCCUAAAGUCAUGAAGUCUUCUCGAUUUGCAUGCUUAUAUUGAACAUUAACAAGAACUACAAAAUAUAAGUAUUUAAUAAGCAUCACUUUUAAAACAUGACGUGGAUAAAGUAUAUCCAAAAUAAUUAGUUUAUACAUUUUUGGCCCAAUGAAACAUCAAAUGAAUGUGGAUCCUCCACAUUUAACAAAAUGCACAUGAUAUUAGUCAUUCAAUAAAGGAAUUCUUAAAAAAAAAAUUAAAAAUUAAAAAUUAAAAAUUAAAAAUUAAAAAUUAAAAAUUAAAAAUAAAUAAAUAAAAAGGCUAAAAGAUGGUCAAACCCGUAGAUAAAGAGAGAGUUGUCCUUGAUUUUAUCCUAUAUUCUGUCCUACAUAUUGUUUGGAUGCCAACUAAAAAAAUGAAGAAAAAACAGAUAAUUUAAUGAAAAGUUAUUAAAUAAUUUAAGAAGGAAAAAGAAAAUAAAGGAGAGUUAAAAAAAACAUGAAUAGUUUAAUGGAUUUCAAAUUUUAUUUUAUUUUAUUUUUCCAUUUUUACACAUCUCUUUGUAAUAUAUUCAAUAUUCUAUAUGAUAUUUAUAAAGAAGAUAAUCAAAUAUCAUUGAAACAUGGGUACCUUUUUUCAACAAAUGCAUCACUAAUUACAUAUAUUUUAAUGAAAAUAUUGACAAUGUUUCGAUAUUUUCACUAUUUUCCAAAAUCAUAAUAAACAAAUAUAGUUGUACACAGAAAUUUCAUAAAUUUUAUCCUGCGAAAUUAGCAAAAUAAAAUAGGAAAAAUAGUGUGAACAAAUGAUUUAUUAAAUUCAAGAAUAUCGCAGGUACAAUUUCAAAAUAAUAAUAAUAAUAUUUUUUCUAACAAAGAAUAUUUUCCCUUUAAUUCUUUUGCCUUGAUUGCACUUUGGAAGACAACGAUGACGUUUUCUUGAUUUCAAAGAUCAAUCGAGGGCCACAAGUGGCUUAUUCCCGAAUGACCUUGUUGAAUGACAAAGAACGAGUGUAUUAGUUCUUUUGUCGCUUACCGAACUUAUAGGGAGUUUUUAUUUGAUUUCUGAAUUUUCUUCCCUCUCCUCUCCUUGAUGGAAGACAUCUUUAUUUAUAGGUGAAGAUAGGGAAUUUGAAUUUCAAAAUCCCCAAUUUUAGUUGCUUAAUUCAAGGGAUUUAGUUCCUUAAUUUUAGCAAAUUUUCUUUUCCGGGAGGUUUUACCAACAAGAUAAUAAGACUUAUCCUUUUUUUUAGAAGACCAAAUUAAUGGUAAUUUAUUUAUGUCUACAAUAGUUUAAAAAUUUUCUUAUAUAUAGAACUCCACCCUAUUCUUGUCUACUUUCCCUUCAUCCGACGGUUCAUCUGUGUAUGAAAAAUUUGUUUUUUAAAAUCUAUUGGAAGUGUCUCAACUUUUUAAUUGGAAUAUAUAAUUUUUUUUAAUAAAAAAUUAUUAUAUAAAUAUUUUCUAAAUUCAUAUAGUAUUGUAAUUAGAUUUUUUAUAGAAUAAAGAAAGGGAAUAGAUUACCUAGUGAGAUCUACAUACAAUUUAAUAAUUAAUUAGUUAACUAAUAUUAGAUUAACUCGGACUCAAAUUAUUUGGCCAGCAGAGUCAUGGGAGCCUUAAAAGAGAAGCUAAGAGCAAAGGGGAUGCAUACAACAAAACCAAAACUAUGGUAUUCCCUUCAAGGAUCUCAUGUCCACUAUCAUUACUCUAAAAAGCAUUGAAAUUUUGGAGAUCAGGAGAGGAUUCAAGCAAUUGGCAAAGCAGUUUCCCAUAUGAAGUUGGUAAUUAUGAGCAAGAGAAAUUUUCCAAUGGAAGAAGAAUUGGACUGGAAGUAAGUAUUUGAAGUAACAUCAUGGCAAAGUUGUUGGUAAUUGGUAACUGUGGGGCUGAGUGAAACAUUAGAUUAAAUUCUGACCUCUUAUUUCGUCUACAAGAAACCUUGAGCUAACUAGUAGAUGGGUUUAAUUGCAUGGUCCAAACUAAGAUUAAAAUAAGAAUGCAAGCUCCGUGUCCACAAUACGCUUUCUAACUGCCGAUAUACGAAACCAUCAGGUGGUUUUCUAUGUUUUGAAUCUUCCAAAACCUUGAAAGACUUUUGGUGAAGUUGCCAAAAGUUCUAUAUAGAUAGAGUUCACAGCUGGUUUUGAAUUUUCUAAACACCUAGAAAAUACACUUUUUGCAGAAAGUGCUUGCCAAUUUUCCAAUACCUGUAAAGGUGAGAAUAUGAUGUUUACCUGCCACCUUGAAAUUUAUAACCAUAGUGUAGCAACCUUGUUUGUACUAUUAGAACAAGAAAAUGCAACCAUACUAACAAAGAAAACACUAUUAGAACAAACAUGGAUAUUCAACUGAAGUUCAUGAUAUAUGGAACUUCCAGGAUUGCAAAGACGAGUAGGUGCGUAUAUACUGUCUUAGGGAUGUGUAGUUUCAGAAGGUUGAACUAAAGGGGAAAGGACUACGGGGCACAGCAACUUCAACAACUCCUUGAAGCAUCAAUAUGACCAUUCCCAUGGAGGGCCUCAAAGAAGGGUCCUCUUGAAUGCACCAAAUGGCAACCAUCACUACCCUCUCUAGCAUCCCCAUGUCUUUUCCUGCUUCAUCAUCAUUCUUCACUAGCUUAUCCAAUCUGUGCCCUCUAUAGCAAUCAUAAGCCCAGUCAGCAAGUAUUGCUUCCUCCUCAUUUUCCGGCUGUGAAUGUACGCUCUUCCUGCAACUGAUGAUCUCCAGUAACAUAACCCCAUAACUAUAAACAUCCACUUUCGCCGUAAUCGGCUUGCUCCUGAACCAUUCUGGUGCAACGUAUCCUUUGGUCCCUCUGAUUGUUGUAAGGGUCCGAGUAUGAUCUCUCAUCAGAAGCUUCGCUAGUCCGAAGUCUGAAAUCCUAGGUGUAAGGUACUCGUCAAGGAGGAUGUUUUCAGGCUUUAUAUCACAAUGGAUGAUGGGGGUGCUGCACUCUUCGUGUAAAUACAUUAGCCCUUUUGCAAUCCCAAAGGCUAUCUGGAGUCUCUGGCUCCAUUCAGGUGUAGAUAUUCC